rnacentral:sRNA from 1 species
GUCUUACAGCGACUUGCGUCUUAUCGGAGGCACAAAGGUUGCUGCAGCAGGCGCCCAUCGUCU